rnacentral:rRNA from 1 species
GGGCGCAAGCCUGAUGCAGCGACGCCGCGUGAGGGAUGACGGCCUUCGGGUUGUAAACCUCUUUCAGUAGGGAAGAAGCGAAAGUGACGGUACCUGCAGAAGAAGCGCCGGCUAACUACGUGCCAGCAGCCGCGGUAAUACGUAGGGCGCAAGCGUUAUCCGGAAUUAUUGGGCGUAAAGAGCUCGUAGGCGGUUUGUCGCGUCUGCCGUGAAAGUCCGGGGCUCAACUCCGGAUCUGCGGUGGGUACGGGCAGACUAGAGUGAUGUAGGGGAGACUGGAAUUCCUGGUGUAGCGGUGAAAUGCGCAGAUAUCAGGAGGAACACCGAUGGCGAAGGCAGGUCUCUGGGCAUUAACUGACGCUGAGGAGCGAAAGCAUGGGGAGCGAACAGGAUUAGAUACCCUGGUAGUCCAUGCCGUAAACGUUGGGCACUAGGUGUGGGGGACAUUCCACGUUUUCCGCGCCGUAGCUAACGCAUUAAGUGCCCCGCCUGGGGAGUACGGCCGCAAGGCUAAAACUCAAAGGAAUUGACGG